UACGUAGGGGGCCAGCGUUGUCCGGAUUUACUGGGCGUAAAGAGCGCGUAGGCGGAAGCUUAAGCGGUGCCUGAAAGCCCCCGGCUCAACCGGGGAGGGCGGUGCCGAACUGGGCUUCUUGAGGGCGAUAGAGGAGAGUGGAAUUCCGGGUGUAGCGGUGAAAUGCGUAGAUAUCCGGAGGAACACCGGUGGCGAAGGCGGGUCUCUGGGCCGUAACUGACGCUGAGGAGCGAAAGCAUGGGGAGCGAACAGG
rnacentral:rRNA from 1 species